rnacentral:tRNA from 1 species
GGGGUUGUAGCUCAGUGGUAGAGCACUUGCCUUGCAUGCAUGAGGCACUGAGUUUGAUCCUCAGCACCACA